UAGCGUAGGUGCAAGCGUUGUCCGGAAUUAUUGGGCGUAAAGAGCUCGUAGGCGGUCUGUCGCGUCGGCGUGUCGAAAUCCCGAGGCUCAACCUCCGGGUCAGCAGUCGAUACGGGCAAACUAGAGUAUUGCAGGGGAGACGUGGAAUUCCUGGUGUAGCGGUGAAAUGCGCAGAUAUCAGGAGGAACACCGGUGGCGAAGGCGGGUCUCGUGGGCAAGUAACUGACGUGAGGAGCGAAAGCGUGGGGAGCGAACAGG
rnacentral:rRNA from 1 species